rnacentral:precursor_RNA from 15 species
UGACAGAUCUAACCAUUAGCACCUGACACUACACCCAGGGACAGAAUAGCAGUUCACUUGGAAGCCCCCUUUUCUAUCCCUGGGACUGGUGCUGCGCACCACCACUGCUGCUCUCACUG